GCUAAUGAUAUUUGACAUACGACUGACUACUUACUCGGUGCCCUACCGACUAUCAGAACUGACGACUGGAUGGCACCAUUCGACAGACAUCAGUCGAGCAGCUGAAUGUUAAGUGUGGCCUCCACGCUACUCAAUCGGAUUACAUCAAGUCACAUCACCCAGAAGCCAUGCCCUGGGCGGCAGGCUGCAUGCUAUGAUGGAAAGCCAUAAAGUUAUUAAUUACGCCACACGUACGGUAAGGCCCAC
rnacentral:lncRNA from 1 species